AUUUUUAUAGUUAAAUCGCCGAUUGAGAACUCAGAAGCAGUGAGCUCUACCCACGACCGGGUGAUUGAUCUAAAACAUAUUUUACUGAAUAUUUUCGAUAAUAAACAGCUGUUAAGUUGAAGGAUUUAGUUUUUUAUGAGUUGGAACUAACAUUACAUGACACAAUUACGCAGUAUGUUACUUUUGAUAAAGGAGACAAACUGAAUGGAGUCGGGAAUAAAACAAUUAGCUGGGUAAAGUAAAUAUAUGCAGAUGCUGUUAUAUACAUCAUUUCCUUCAGAUGUAUCAAUGUGUUGGUGACUGUUAUGAAGAGAAUGGGCCCAUUUUAACAACUUCUAGGAUGGGCGGUACAAGGGUUCAUACCAGUGAUCAAUUUGUCAUGACUCUUCUGAAGUUGCACCUAAAUCUAAGGGAUCUACAUUUAGCAGGCCAGAGGGCUCAAUGCCGAAUUUACCUCUGAAAGAAUUGCAAUGGAUACAACAAACAGAACACUGGAUUUAAUUUUAAAAAUGAAUAACUAGUCAUUAUCUGACAGCAACUACAUUGUGCAAAAUUUGUCACACAGCAAAGGCUAUUACUUCUGUAGCACAAUUGUUCUGAAUUCUAUCCUGGAUCCACCUUUGAUGGUGACAUUGUUGAUCACUGAGGUGUAUUGGAGAUGUUGAAGCCAGAUGAUAUAUGAUUCUUGCUAAUAAAGGAUUUGAUAUAUUUGAUAAACUUUAAUCAGGAGUGACAUUGAACAUAUCACCUUUUCUUUCAUCAAAAUCUCAUUUCAGUAAGGAUGAAGCACAGCUGUUACAAGACCAGGGAGAGUCAAAUUCAUGUGGAGUGUGCAAUUUAAUAAUUAAAAACAUCCAUAUUCUAAAUCAUAUACCUUCACAAUACAGACGUAUAUAUCUGCCCACUCAGAUUUUCAACUCUGUGUGACUCUUGUACAUUUGCAAAUCCUCUAUUGAAGGAAAUAGCUGAUAUGAAUUCCACAAUUUAUUAAAUCUUAUCUUUGGACUUAAGAUACUAUAAAUGUACAACUUCUUACUCACAUUAUUCUGCAUUGUCAAGUUGUAUUAAAUGCAUUCAAGUAAAUGAUAAAGUGAACAUUUAUUUAAGGCUGCAGCGUCUGCUAGUCAAAGAAAUUGUUACAAUGGUGAUUCAUGUACAUCUUUAUACUGAUCAUUUGUAGCAAAAACAAAAUAAAACUAAUGGAAGACA